CCUUCGGGGAACUUUGAGACAGGUGGUGCAUGGGUUGUGGCCAGCUCGUGUCGUGAGAUGUUGGGUUAAGUCCCGCAACGAGCGCAACCCCUAUUGUUAGUUGCCAGCAUUAAGUUGGGCACUCUAGCGAGACUGCCGAGGUCAACUCGGAGGAAGGUGGGGAUGACGUCAAAUCAUCAUGCCCCUUAUGCUCUGGGCUACACACGUGCAACAAUGGCCGGUACAGAAAGCAGCAAACCCGCGAGGGGGAGCUAAUCUCAAAAACCGGUCCCAGUUCGGAUUGCAGGCUGCNACUCGCCUGCAUGAAGCUGGAGUUGCUAGUAAUCGCGAAUCAGCAUGUCGCGGUGAAUGCGUUCCCGGGCCUUG
rnacentral:rRNA from 1 species